CCAACCAACCAGUCUACAAAACAAGAAAAACCAAUGCUUAUUUUCCAAGACCGCCUAUUUCCCAAGACCACCACAUCACAGAGAAUAGUCCAAACUAAUCAUCAUAGUAUUGGGGCAAAUUUGAUCCCGAUCUCCCACCUGAUGAUCCACUUCCUCCUCUACCCAUGUUUUGGAGAUUUUCUUGUGAAGCAUUAAAAAUACUAUAGUUUCUUAAAAAAA
rnacentral:lncRNA from 1 species